rnacentral:rRNA from 1 species
UACGUAGGGUGCGAGCGUUGUCCGGAAUUAUUGGGCGUAAAGGGCUCGUAGGCGGUUUGUCGCGUCGGGAGUGAAAUCCACUGGCUUAACUGGUGGCUUGCUUUCGAUACGGGCAGACUGGAGGUAUGCAGGGGAGAACGGAAUUCCUGGUGUAGCGGUGAAAUGCGCAGAUAUCAGGAGGAACACCGGUGGCGAAGGCGGUUCUCGUGGG